rnacentral:rRNA from 1 species
UGAAGUUAAAGGCAGUGGNUCAACCAUUGUAGGCUUUGGAAACUGUUUAACUUGAGUGCAGAAGGGGAGAGUGGAAUUCCAUGUGUAGCGGUGAAAUGCGUAGAUAUAUGGAGGAACACCGGUGGCGAAAGCGGCUCUCUGGUCUGUAACUGACGCUGAGGCUCGAAAGCGUGGGGAGCGAACAGGAUUAGAUACCCUGGUAGUCCACGCCGUAAACGAUGAGUGCUGGGUGUUAGGUCCUUUCCGGGACUUAGUGCCGCAGCUAACGCAUUAAGCACUCCGCCUGGGGAGUACGACCGCAAGGUUGAAACUCAAAGGAAUUGACGGGGGCCCGCACAAGCGGUGGAGCAUGUGGUUUAAUUCGAAGCAACGCGAAGAACCUUACCAGGUCUUGACAUCCCGAUGCCCGCUCUAGAGAUAGAGCUUUACUUCGGUACAUCGGUGACAGGUGGUGCAUGGUUGUCGUCAGCUCGUGUCGUGAGAUGUUGGGUUAAGUCCCGCAACGAGCGCAACCCUUAUUGUUAGUUGCCAUCAUUCAGUUGGGCACUCUAGCGAGACUGCCGGUAAUAAACCGGAGGAAGGUGGGGAUGACGUCAAAUCAUCAUGCCCCUUAUGACCUGGGCUACACACGUGCUACAAUGGCUGGUACAACGAGUCGCAAGCCGGUGACGGCAAGCUAAUCUCUGAAAGCCAGUCUCAGUUCGGAUUGUAGGCUGCAACUCGCCUACAUGAAGUCGGAAUCGCUAGUAAUCGCGGAUCAGCACGCCGCGGUGAAUACGUUCCCGGGCCUUGUACACACCGCCCGUCACACCACGAGAGUUUGUAACACCCGAA